rnacentral:rRNA from 1 species
GACGAACGCUGGCGGCGUGCCUAAUACAUGCAAGUCGAGCGAAUGGAAGGGAGCUUGCUCCCUGAAGUUAGCGGCGGACGGGUGAGUAACACGUGGGCAACCUGCCUGUAAGACUGGGAUAACUUCGGGAAACCGGAGCUAAUACCGGAUACGUUCUUUUCUCGCAUGAGGAAAGAUGGAAAGAUGGUUUCGGCUAUCACUUACAGAUGGGCCCGCGGCGCAUUAGCUAGUUGGUGGGGUAAUGGCCCACCAAGGCGACGAUGCGUAGCCGACCUGAGAGGGUGAUCGGCCACACUGGGACUGAGACACGGCCCAGACUCCUACGGGAGGCAGCAGUAGGGAAUCUUCCGCAAUGGACGAAAGUCUGACGGAGCAACGCCGCGUGAGCGAAGAGGGCCUUCGGGUCGUAAAGCUCUGUUGUCAGGGAAGAACAAGUGCCAGAGUAACUGCUGGCACCUUGACGGUACCUGACCAGAAAGCCACGGCUAACUACGUGCCAGCCGCCGCCGUAA